rnacentral:rRNA from 1 species
AUUGAACGCUGGCGGCAGGCUUAACACAUCCAAGUCGAGCGGGGUGAUGGUGCUUGCACUAUCACUUAGCGGCGGACGGGUGAGUAAUGCUUAGUAAUCUGCCUAUUAGCGGGGGACAACAUCUCGAAAGGGAGUCUACUACCGCAUACGUCCUACGGGAGCAAGCCGGGGCUGAAUUGUUACCUUGCGCGAAUAGAGGGGCAUAAGUCGGAUUAGCUGGUUGGUGGGGUAAAGGCCUACCAAGGCGACGAAGUGUAGCGGGUCUGAGAGGAUGAUCCGCCACACUGGGACUGGGACACGGCCCAGACUCCUACGGGGGGCAGCAGUAGGGAAUAUUGGACAAUGGGGGGAACCCUGAUCCAGCCAUGCCGCGUGUGUGAAGAAGGCCUUAUGGUUGUAAAGCACUUUAAGCGAGGAGGAGGCUCUUUUGGUUAAUACCCAAGAUGAGUGGACGUUACUCGCAGAAUAAGCACCGGCUAACUCUGUGCCAGCAGCCGCGGUAA